GCUAGGAUCCAGGCACAAAGCUGGGACACUGAGAAGCUUGCUGUCACAUUUCUGUGCACCAAGUCCUGAGCCAGACCAGGAGCUGGGAAAGUGAAGGCUCUCCUCUCUGAAAGGGGUCUGCACUUGGGGGCAAUGCUUUUACUUGAUGUUGAUGUGGGGGAGACAGAUACCCUAGGAAGUGUCCCACGGAGGGAAUCCAUGGUGGACACCACAAAGUCGACUUCCUAUCUCUCUCCUAGCUGCUCUCUCUCCUGGGCGUGGGCUGGGUGAAGAUUAAUGGCUCUUCAGCUCUCCCCUUAGAACACAUGCAGUCGUCACGUCCUGAAGAGAAAUGCAGCGGCUCAUAAAUUAUGGGCUGUCGUCAGAGAAGAUGCAGAUCCAUUAGGAAUUAGAACUGUUAGAAAUGGAGUGGCUGACAUCCCCCUUCCAAACUUCUCAGAGUCUUCAACGAAUAACAAAUGGAAAAACAACAACUAAACAAUCCAACUGCUAAACAAUCCAUCUAGCACUGAGACUCUGAAAGAGCUCUGGGGGCAUCGCUGUCUUGGAACAUUACAACAUGUUUUUCAGGAUUACAAGGUGUUCCUAAUGUUCCCAGAAUUGAGAUCAAUUUCAGACUCAGCACUGAAGCCACAAAGAAGACUAGAAGUAUCUCUACAGGCCUGGAAAGAGUGACCUCAGUGCUAUGGGCUGGAGAAUCGGACUGAUAAAUGCCACGACUGUCCUGGGAUAGGAGCCAUGGAAAGUCAGUAAACUGGACACGCCAGCCUUCCAGGAAAGGCCUUGAGGAUGUGCUCUGGGUGCCGAUGGUCUGAAGUCUGAUCCUGGGCACAUGAAGGACGGUGGGUGUUCUGUGAACAAGUGCCAGUUGCGAUCUCACAGAUGUUCUCUGGGGAAGGGACAGUUUGUGAGAGCCCAGUUCUGAUGAUCCUUAUGCCAAAAUCAUCGCUGUUUUCAAACCGGGAGUUUUACUUCUGUGGAAGAUUGAUUUGACCUCCCUCAAUUUUCCUCCUUCUCCUGUAAUUGCAACACAUGUCCUCUCAGAAUCAAAGAGGUUUCCCAACAAACACAUCUUAAAUACCACACCCAUACUGUCUCAACUGCUAAAGAAAAUAAAGACAUAAUGGAAGGAAUACAAUAUGAAAUUUAAAAAUCAUGUAAAAAUGGGGUUUAGGGAUGCCUGGGUGGCUCAGUCAGUUAAGUGACUGACUCUUGGUUUCUGCUUAGGUCAUGAUCUCACGGUUCGUGAGAUCGAGCCCCGUGCAGGCUGUUAGUGCAGAGCCUGCUUGGGAUUCUCCCUCUCUC